ACCCAGACCCUCUUCCUAUGUUAACACACUGGUCUUCCGUAGGCCCCAUACCUUUCCAUAAAAUUGGGUUACUUCUAUUAUAUAAUUUUCUCUACUUAUAUUUCUGUUUCUCGUCUUUCUGUUAUCUGUUAAGCAUACUGUCAAGAGCGUGGAAUUUUACAUAACAAGAGCCUUUGUUCCAACAGCUGGUUUUGCAUCUCUGCUUCUCUGCAUCAUCACGUUCUUUAGGAAGAAAAAAGAAAAGGUUCCAGCCAUGGACUAUCUUGCCCUGCUGCUGACUUUGAAGAAGAUUCUUUUUCUGCUACUGUAAAGGAUUUCCUUUCUGAGAAGGGGAUUUUCGUCAUUAAUGUGGUCUUAAGAUAUCCAUCCAUAAAGAAAGUGGUUGUAUCAAGGAUGAGAACGGUGUACCAAUACUGCACAUUGCUGCACUAGCUUCUCGUCGCUCCCUGGGGUUUGCACUUAGAUAAAUGAGAAGGUUCAAGCUUGGGGGGAAGCCAUCAAGCAAACACCUUUCAGUUUUAGUGUUCAAGCAAGCUCAAGUACACCUCACAUGUUAUAUGGCAGAAAACCUCACCGAGCCAGCUACUAAUUUCGGGUAUUCAAUAAUCCAAGGGAGCGGCCUUUCACCUUUGAGGAGAUAGAUGAAGUUCGAGAAAUGUUGGCAAACUUCAUUACCAGUGAUUGUCUUUGAUAUUUUCUUGUACUGAAUCUUAAAUUAUGGAUGCUAGUUUUUCAUAUGAUUGUAAUGCAAUCGACUUUUAUAUUUACAAUUAUAUACUAUUUAAUUUUAUUAUCUAUAUAAUAGGAUACUUUUUAUGUGACGUAUGGAGGUUAAUCAGUGGCGUGGUCCAAUUGUAAUAUGUAGCAGGAAAAUCGGUUAUAUAACAAAUCUAGAUCAAGUGCGGCUCAUUUAUGAAGGAAAUAAUGCCCUUGGUCCAA